GGAGGACCGGAACAACGGACCUGAUGGACGUGCUCCCACUUCCGCCGGGGUGGUAGACUAGGGGUCAGCCUGUGUCUCCACAUAGCUGGUGGGGCCUACACGCGCCAACUGUGCUGUGCAGCCCCCGGGCCUUCAGGACAACACAGCCACGCAGGGCAUCCUCAAGAACAUCAGUGAUUUGUCCAAGAUCCUAGAGCUGAGAGAGAAUCGUUGGGCCCCAAAUCCCGUGCUUUUACCUUUGCAUAGCGUUUAUGAUCGAAAAGCCCUUUUUAUGAGCCAGGUGGUAGAUGUGGGGCCCAGUUUCGAACAACAGAUAGUGAGAAUGCAUGAGUUAAGACGUGUAAAGCCCUCAGUGGACUGCUUUGAUCUAGUAAUGUCAGCAGAUAGUAUUUUAUGGAUGUGUGGAACUUAAUUGGGAGAUAAAUGCAAUACACACUUAGUGGGAAUUAAAGACCGGAAGAUCAUCUUAUAGUGUCACCUAAAUUCAGCAAAACAUACAAAACCAUCUAUCCUGUGUGGGAGACCAGAAUAUACCUUCUCAAAUAUGAAGGAUUGCUGCCCUGAAGACAAGAACCAGCAGAUGCAGGAGAGCUGUCCACCUGCCCUCUUUUUACCCAGAAGCAAGACAUAGAUUAGAAAGAGAAAAGGUAUCCUGCCCCACUCCUUUACCAGGGAGAACAAAGGUUAACCACUGAAGACAGCGUCAGACCCUCAUUAGCCUUGAAAUGAUAUCAGAGGAAUUAAUAUUAGCUUUUUUUAAA
ensembl:lncRNA novel transcript, antisense to ZPBP